UGGAAAGCAUAGAUGGUGGACAAUGUGGCCAAAGUGCAAUUAACCCCUUAAGGACGAGCGCCGUAAAUGUACGACGCUGCUAAGAAGUACUUAGCGCACAGCGCCGUACAUAUACGGUGCAUUUUACCUGGAUCACCACAUCUCUGGACGCGGUGAUCGGAAUGGGAUGACUGUUGAUAUCCAUGUCGGCGAUCGCACCAAAUCGUCAGUCAAUUCAGACCUGCGAUUUGGCCCUAUUCCGGGUCAAUCGGGUCUCUGGUGACGAGACAGCCCCAUUCCCCCUUACCCAGCAGGAGUGAGGUGGCACGGGUGGCGCCUCACGAUCACGUGAUCGGUCGGAAUGAUCAACCAAUCACGGACCUGCUGGGUGGCAAUCAGAGCGGAGAUCGGCGCUGGCGGGGGUCUCCUACCUUACCCUGGUCCGGCGGGGGUCCCCUCAGGAUCGGUGGCGGCGACAGGAGCAGCAGGAUCGGUCCCUGCGGCAGGAUACAGUGACGACAGGAUACAGCAGGAGCAUGGCUUAUAUCUGCCCCCAUCAGAUGUCCUCACACAGUAGCCAUGACAGAUCUAUUUAUUGGUGGCCAUAGCUAACAAGAUUACCAGACUGCGCCGAAAUUCCCCUUAGCAGAGGUGCAGUAACCAAGGGCUUCUGGUCUCAAGGCAGUGGCCAACCUCAGUCAGUAAUUGGCUGGAUGGGCAGUUUCUGCUGAGAUGGCUCGUCUUUGAAAAAGGAAGAAGCAGUGGUAAGCAUGGACUGGAUGAUGCCCAAUUGGAAUUUUGAACCUUGGACUGUUCCCUUUUAACCCCUUAAGGACCAUGGGUUUUUCCAUUUUUGCACUUUCGUUUUUUCCUCCUCACCUUUUAAAAAUCUUAACCCUUCCAAUUUUGCACCUAAAAUUCAAAAGGGGUCUGGAUGCAUUUUCGGAGAGUAAUAACAUCGCUGGUUAUGGAUACUAGAUUUAUGGGGACAGAACAUUGAAUUGAUUUGUUCUGAUGCCAUAUUUGGAGUCGGGAAGGAAUUUUUACCUCUAGUAUGAGGGUUUUUUGCCUUCCUCUGGAUCAAAUCAGUAGGGACUCAUUAGGGAUAUAGGUUGAACUUGAUGGACUCUGGUCUUUUCUUCAACCUUAUUAACUAUGUUACUAUGGGGUGGCUGCAUUUAUAGAAACCCCUACAUGUUAGCCAGUUGUCUCUAGGUGCCCUAAAAUCACUAGGGAAUAAUUGAUUGUACAAAGACCUGGCUUUCUGAGGUGUAAUGCAAAUAACUUCUUUGUAAUAAUUUCCUGAAUUUAUUGCAGAAUAUUUUUUUGGGGCAAGUUUGUUGGAUCUGGUCAUUUCUAACAAUGCAGAGCUGGUUGGUAAUGUAACUGUAUGUGAAAACUUUGGUAACAGCAAUCACAAUAUAGUUACUUUUGGCUUAAAGAAGAAGUAUCAUGGAAAAAAAACAUAACCCCUAUCCACAGGAUAGGGGAUAAGUUUUAGAUUGCGGGGGGUCUGACUGCUGGGGCCCCCGGCGACCUCCUGUAUGGUGCCCCGGCUCUCCUCCACAGAGGCUCGUCACACCUCCUCCAUAUAGCUCCAUGAGACUUCUCCUGUAAAGUGUCAAAAACAAAGUGGCAAAUUUCCCUGGGUUAAGAGCCAUACUUCAGGACAUAGACUGCGAAGAAGUGUUGUCUAAUAGCUCUAGCCUCUAAAAAUUACAAACAACUUAAUUAAAUCUGUAAAAAUUUUUUAUAAAUGCAGCAAAUGUUUACAAUAACAUGCAGGUGGCAAAAGAAAGCAAAACAAAUCCCAAUUAUAAAUAUAUAAAUUUUAAAAAAUGGAAUACUGUGUACAGUUAUGGGCACCACUGUACAAAAAAAAUAAAUAAAGUGGGGCUAGAGAGGGUUCAAAGACGGUCAACUAGAGUAAAAUGGUGACUGGGACAACUACAGUACCCAGAAACAUCAUCAGAAUUAGGAUUAUUUAAAUAAAGACGGUUUACGGAUGACCUAAAAACUAUAUAUGAAUAAAUCGGGGCAGUACAGAGAUCUCACCCAUGACCUAUUCAUACCCAGGACUGUAUCUGUAACAAGGGGAAUCCUCUAUGUCUAGAGCAGUGUUUCCCAACCUUUUUCGUCUCAGGGAACCCCUUGAAAAAAAAAUUUCACGGGGAACCCCUACCGAAUUUGUCGAGCAAAAAAAAGAAAAAAAAAAACAGGAAAACAGCCGCAGUUCUCUUCUCUUCUCCAUCUGGUCCGGGCCAUCAUGACGAUUUCUUCCAGCCACAAUUCUUCACUGUUUAACCUGCAAAACCAACCUAUUAGGCUCUGCACUUUUAGUGUUAUAGGGGCGUAUAGGUGUAAAGGGGUAACAGAGGGGAGCAGAAAGGUGUACAUGGGUGACAGAUGUGUAAAGGAGUGUACAUGGGAAAGAGGGGUGUACAUGGGUAACAGAGGGGUGUUGGCAUUGUAGAGGAGUGUACAUGGGUGACAGAGGGGUGUAGGGUGUGACAGAAGGGUGUACAUGAGUGACAGAUGGUUGUAGAAGAGUGUACAUGGGUGACAUGGGGGCAUAGGGUGUGACAGAGAAGUGUACAUGGGU